rnacentral:lncRNA from 10 species
UACAGCACUUCUGUGGGGUUUGAAAAAAAAAAAGGAAAACAACAGAAGAACACAUCAUAUGCAACUAAUGAUCUCAUUAUUUAAGAGUCCCCUGUUACUUCUUUAGUCAUUUCCUUUGACUCUGCUACAGAUAGGAUUAUAGGAUGAUGCUUCAAAGGGGACCUUGAACCUAUUCACCAUUAUUUGUCUCUUUAAGCUGGCAAACCCAUCAUUAAAUAGCACAUAAAAUAGCAAUCAUAUGGGAUAAGUAGUACAGCUUCAGUAAUCAAUGGGCAGUGGCACUAGAAAAAUCUUGAGCACAGUGAAUGACCUAUCCUGCAAACAUCUAAUGGAUCUCUAAAGGGUAACAAACCCUAUAAAUUCUGGCUUACUGCACAUAUUUAGUGUGUUUUAAGAUAGGAUCCUAACUGUAUAUAUUUAUAACUAAUGUAAGGACCCUACUUUAUUGCCAAAACCUAUUUUUAUCCAUUGUCUCAUAUAUAUAAACAUGUCAUAUAUAUAAACAUAUAUAUAUAAACAUAUAUGUAUAUAGUAAACAUUCAAUAAAUUGCAACAUAUU